rnacentral:rRNA from 1 species
CCUACGGGGGGCAGCAGUGAGGAAUAUUGGUCAAUGGACGAGAGUCUGACCCAGCCACGUCGCGUGAAGGAUGAAUGCCCUCUGGGUUGUAAACUUCUUUUAUAUGGGAAUAAAAUGUUCCACGUGUGGGAUUUUGUAUGUACCAUAUGAAUAAGGAUCGGCUAACUCCGUGCCAGCAGCCGCGGUACUACGGAGGAUCCGAGCGUUAUCCGGAUGUAUUGGGUUUAAGGGGAGCGUAGGUGGAGUGUUAAGUCAGUUGUGAACGUUUGCGGCUCAACCGUAAAAUUGCAGGUGAAACUGGCAGUCUUGAGUACAGUAGAGGAUGGCGGAAUUCGUGGUGUAGCGGUGAAAUGCUUAGAUAUCACGAAGAACUCCGAUUGCGAAGGCAGCUCACUGGACUGCAACUGACACUGAGGCUCGAAAGUGUGGGUAUCAAACAGGAUUAGAUACCCCUGUAGUC